GGCGUAGCUCAACUGGUAGAGCGUCGGUCUCCAAAACCGAAGGUCACGGGUUCGAUCCCUGUCGCC
rnacentral:tRNA from 1 species